UUUAAGUGCAACCAUAAGUUUUCGUGUCCAAUUUUAAUCGUCCGUAUUAUUUAAAAUUUUUUAUAAUUAGUAUUUUAUUGUUAUGAGAUGAUAAAACAUGAAUAAUAUUUUAUGCAUGACUUAUGUUUUUAAAUUUUUUCAAAGAAAAUCUCAAAUAAGACAGAUAAUCAAAGUUGGGUACGGAAAAUCAUGGUUGUAGUUAAA
rfam:Oryza barthii chromosome 12, whole genome shotgun sequence.